CUGCGCCCUUUGCUUCCUAGCUCUGUAUCCUUCAGCAAGUCUACUUACCUCAUAAGGCUGUGAAGAUGAUGUGAGAUAAUGAAUGGAAAGUUCUUACAUGCUUGGGUCACAGGCAUGCAUCCAGCAAGGGAACUAGCAAGUCUAGCUGUGACUGGUGGGAAGGUCAACUGAAAGUGAAGGACCAGAGCCUAUCCUUGCUCACAGACAUGAGUCCACUCCUACCAGGCGUCUGAGAGACGUGGCAGAGGUUUCGUGAAGGCUUGAGGAUGGAAGAGACUUCCCUUGCAGAGAUCAAGGUCAAGUUCAAGCUACAGUCAAGAACUCUGCUCCAAACCAUAAUAAGAUACCAUUCCACACUCACUAGGUUGGCCAUAAUAAAAUAGAUAGACAAUAAAAAGUAUUAAUGGGGAUAUAGAGAAAUUGGAACCCUCAUACAUUGCUGGUGGAAAUAAAGGGUGUAGCUACUUUGGAAAACAGUUUGGCAGUUCCUCAAAAUGUUAAACAUAGAGUUAUUAUAUGACCUAGAAACCCCACUCUUAGGUAUAUACCCCCCAAAAUGAAAACACGUUUACACAGAAACCUGUACAAAAUACUCAUAGCCCAGCAUUGUUCAUAAUAGCCAAAAGGUGGAAACAACCCAAAUGUCCAUCAGCUAAUGAAUGGAUAAACAAAAUGAAUCUCCAUGGGAUAGAAUAUCAUUCAGUAGUAAGAAUGAAGUAGCAGCACAUGAUAUGACAUGUUUGAACCCUGAAAACAUUAUACCAAGUGAAAGAAGCCAGUCACAAAAGACCAGAUAUUAUGAUUCCAUCCAUAUGAAAUAUUCAGAACAGACAUGACCAUGACAGAGCACGGGUUAGUGGUUGCCUGGGGCUAGGGCCAGGGUUGGGGGAUCGGAAGGGGGGACCAGGAAAGACCAGUGACUGCUAAUGGGUGCAGGUUUCAUUUUACACUAUUGGAAAGGUUCCUAAAAUUAGAUACUGGUGAUGGUUGCACAACUCUGUGAAUAUAAUAAAAACCACUGAAUUGUA